rnacentral:lncRNA from 1 species
CCUAACAUCAAACACUUAAUGCAAAACAUCCGGCUUAACCACAUAGCAUUCAAAUGCUAGCAAACAAUUCAACACCAACCUAAAUGUUACUGCCAAUACAAACCAAAGCAUUUCUUUCACCUAUAACCAAUUUCAAAUAAAACUGAUAACUAAACAGAAGAAUCAAACCACUUAAAGCUUUGAUUUCAUACUAUGACAUCGUAUUCAUGAUCAAUAUAUUAAUCACAACAUUUCUAAGGCUAAAUAUUACAACCAUACAUGAGAUUGAAGGAAGAAGGAAUGAGAUUCAACAACAAAUAGCAUCAGUUUUCAUCAUAUUUCCAUAUCCAAACUUCAUACUACACUUAAGUGAUAUCCAUAUUGCCGAGAAUACCUAGAGAUGAAAACAGGAAACAAAGAAGUGAAGAAUCAGCAAAAAGAAGCAACAGAAACCAACACAGAAUCAGCAAUGAAACAGUGCUAAGAUCAGCAAAUCAAGCUUCAGAUUCUUGAACCAACUCCCAUAUUCAAAACCCCAAAUGCUCGAUUUUCUACUAGUCCUUAAAAAAUUUUACUUAUCACAAUGGAAUCAGAACUUGAAAUCAAGCAGAAAUUCAAACUAUUUUCAGCAUUUUUUUCUUAAAAGAAAGCCCUCAGCCAUUUCAGUUUUUCAGAAUUUUUAAUCUCUAAAAUCUUUCCUUGUGAAUGAAGGAAGGGUGCUUUAUAGGCAAGCUUUAGGGCAGCAAUAAUGAAAUCUGUUUUGCACAUUUAUCCUUUUUGAAUUUUCAUUUUUUCUCAAGUACCCCUAGUUUAAAAAUCAUAUUUUCACAUAAGUCCCAAUCCCCAGCUUCUACGAGGCUUCCUAUUUAGUUAAAAGAGACUCUACUAAAUAUAAUUCCUAAACUACCCCUUAGGAUCCCUGUUUUUACCUUCUGAAACCAGACAGAUCAUGGGCAGAUUGACCCAAUGGUUCAAACCCGAUAUGGGCUUGCAAGACCCAAGUCUAAUCCCUUUUGGGCUUCUGAUUUUAGAGCUCAGUUCGAGCCCUAAUCCAAAAUCACAAAUUAACGGUCUAAAAGAAAAACCAAAAACUUUUAAGAUGAAACCAAAACCACAAGAAAAAGGAAAUGAACUAAUUAGUCCUAAAACAAAAUAAACUAGAUUUGUUGUUAAUCUAAUUAUGCAAAAUAAUAAAAAUUAACAAUGAACACAUAACAAAGAAGAAAAGAGGAUACAGAAAAAAGAUGAAAAAUGAACUUAAACAAAGAAGAAAAACAUGCAAGAAAAGGAAAAGAAGCUGAAAGUACCUAAAAACCAGGCGAAUAACAGUCUUGAACCAAUCUUCAAGGAAUCUUCAGUUUUCAACCGAAAUAGACCUUAAUCGUGUGUUCUAGACUAAAAACACGCGAAUAAAGUCGAUUUCAACCUCAAAUCUUCAAUAUCCUCGCCGAUUUGGUUUUUUGGGAUUUUAGGGUUCAGAUCUUCAAAUCAAGAUUCGACGGAAUCUAGGGUGAUUUGAAGGGAACGGAAUAGAGAUUGGGGAAGAGGAGGUUGUGAGGGUUCUAUGAUGUUAAUUUGGGCCGGUUUGGCAGUGGCGCCGCCGGCUAGAGACGGUGGAAAAUGGGGCGGCGCUUUAGGAUUCUUGUUUGGUUCUC